GUGGGGAAUAUUGGACAAUGGGCGAAAGCCUGAUCCAGCAAUGCCGCGUGAGUGAUGAAGGCCUUAGGGUUGUAAAGCUCUUUUACCCGGGAUGAUAAUGACAGUACCGGGAGAAUAAGCUCCGGCUAACUUCGUGCCAGCAGCCGCGGUAAUACGAGGGGAGCUAGCGUUGUUCGGAAUUACUGGGCGUAAAGCGCGCGUAGGCGGUUUUCCAAGUCAGGGGUGAAAGCCCGGGGCUCAACCCCGGAAUAGCCCUUGAAACUGGAGAACUAGAAUCUUGGAGAGGUCAGUGGAAUUCCGAGUGUAGAGGUGAAAUUCGUAGAUAUUCGGAAGAACACCAGUGGCGAAGGCGACUGACUGGACAAGUAUUGACGCUGAGGUGCGAAAGCGUGGGGAGCAAACAGGAUUAGAUACCCGUGUAGUCC
rnacentral:rRNA from 1 species